rnacentral:rRNA from 1 species
UGGGGGGAUAUUGCACAAUGGGCGAAAGCCUGAUGCAGCAACGCCGCGUGAGGGAAGAAGGUCUUCGGAUUGUAAACCUUUGUCCUUGGUGACGAGGAAAGUGACGGUAACCAAGGAGGAAGCCACGGCUAACUACGUGCCAGCAGCCGCGGUAAUACGUAGGUGGCAAGCGUUGUCCGGAUUUACUGGGUGUAAAGGGAGCGCAGGCGGGAGAGCAAGUCAGCGGUGAAAUACAUGGGCUUAACCCAUGGGCUGCCGUUGAAACUGUCCUUCUUGAGUGAAGUAGAGGCAAGCGGAAUUCCGAGUGUAGCGGUGAAAUGCGUAGAUAUUCGGAGGAACACCAGUGGCGAAGGCGGCUUGCUGGGCUUUUACUGACGCUGAGGCUCGAAAGUGCGGGGAGCAAACAGGAUUAGAUACCCUGGUAGU